CACUGUUACACUGAACUGAAUUAAACAAUAAAAAACUACCCUUCUUUUUAUUCAGCGGUUAAUAAAGAAAUGUGUCUCUGUAGUGGACACCUGUAAGGCAGUGGACAGACAGCUGCUGAUGUCUGAUGCUGGCUGACAAUAAACAGACCUCUCUGGACGUAACCCAUAUUUUGUAGGUGUAAAUAAAUUUUGCAGAGACACACCAGAAACCCUUCUAAAACAUUCAAUUAUUUAUAGUUUAUUAACAGUUCUUUUUUUCUUUUCUCUUUUUUUAUUGUUUCCAGAGUAAUUCUAACAUUGCCCUUCCUGUAACAUGCUGUCCUGGACUGUAUAUGAUGAGCCUACACAUAAUCUCAGAACAGCUGUGGUAAUAACAGGAGCCCCAUUUGGUGAGAGCAGCACUGCAGUCUUUCCUGAUGGAGGAGACCAUGGACCAUUUGCAUAAGACUGAUGAUGUGUUUCAGCGGCCAUCAGCAUCGUAAAUCCUUACCAUUUUUUAUAUUAUGAUUUUUUAAAAAUUAUGUGCAUUAAUAAUGCUAUACUUUGUAUUAUAUCACAUUUGUAUCAAAUUACAAAAAAGCUAAUGCAAGGGUGUUUCAAAUCCAGAGUCUUUGGGAGGAAUGAUAAAUUUGACAUUGUUCUCUCUUCUGACUGCUGUUAUCAGUCUCUGUCAGAUUUUUUCCUUUGAUUGAAAGUUGUGAAAAUGCUAUCUUUAGAGUUUUUGUUUUGUUAUUUGAGUAAAUGAGAAUGCAAAAAUAUAUUUGUGAUACUCUCCUAUUCACUGCUCUCGAAGUUAA